rnacentral:rRNA from 1 species
UCGAACGGCAGCACGGGUGCUUGCACCUGGUGGCGAGUGGCGAACGGGUGAGUAAUACAUCGGAACAUGUCCUGUAGUGGGGGAUAGCCCGGCGAAAGCCGGAUUAAUACCGCAUACGAUCUACGGAUGAAAGCGGGGGACCCUCGGGCCUCGCGCUAUAGGGUUGGCCGAUGGCUGAUUAGCUAGUUGGUGGGGUAAAGGCCUACCAAGGCGACGAUCAGUAGCUGGUCUGAGAGGACGACCAGCCACACUGGGACUGAGACACGACCCAGACUCCUACGGGAGGCAGCAGUGGGGAAUUUUGGACAAUGGGCGAAAGCCUGAUCCAGCAAUGCCGCGUGUGUGAAGAAGGCCUUCGGGUUGUAAAGCACUUUUGUCCGGAAAGAAAUCCUUGGUUCUAAUAUAGCCGGGGGAUGACGGUACCGGAAGAAUAAGCACCGGCUAACUACGUGCCAGCAGCCGCGGUAAUACGUAGGGUGCGAGCGUUAAUCGGAAUUACUGGGCGUAAAGCGUGCGCAGGCGGUUUGCUAAGACCGAUGUGAAAUCCCCGGGCUCAACCUGGGAACUGCAUUGGUGACUGGCAGGCUAGAGUAUGGCAGAGGGGGGUAGAAUUCCACGUGUAGCAGUGAAAUGCGUAGAGAUGUGGAGGAAUACCGAUGGCGAAGG